ensembl:lincRNA uncharacterized LOC102005345
CAUGGAUGAGUUUAGGGGCCUUGCUGCAGCCCCCAGGAACCCCCUGGAAACGGUGUCACAUGCCAGUGGCCGUCCAUCUACACAGGGACAGAGCCAUUCUCCGUGAUCCUGGUCUCAGAUGGGGCUAGGUGGCUGGAGCAGAAGCUGUUGCUCAGAAAAGAAAGACCAGGCACUCCUGCCUGAAGCCCUGACCAAAAAUUUUUCUGUAUCGCUUUAAAGAGAGAGCCAUUCUGAAGCUUCUGUCAGGCCCUCUACUGUGUCCCCACCCUCAGGAAGAGCUACGUUGCUCCAAUCCUGGAGUGUAUGCUUGAGAGACCCUGAGAAUGUUCUGGAACAAGCCAGGGGCUGCCCAUCAUGGAGAAGAGGAAAGGAGGUGCCCAGCUGGAGGAACUCAUCCAAGCCCAGGGCGGGCACCAGGGCAGAGCUUCCAGGGCCCCCAGGCCUGGCACCUGGCGUGAGGAAUACUUAAAGGUUGCUGUUAGUCUCAUUGGCUGCC